UACGUAGGGUGCGAGCGUUAUUCGGAAUUACUGGGCGUAAAGCGUGCGCAGGUGGUCAUGUAAGACAGAUGUGAAAGCCCCGAGCUUAACUUGGGAAUUGCGCUUGUGACUGGCGUGCUGGAGUGUGGCAGAGGGAGGUGGAAUUCCACGUGUAGCAGUGAAAUGCGUAGAGAUGUGGAGGAACACCGAUGGCGAAGGCAGCCUCCUGGGCCAGCACUGACGCUCAUGCACGAAAGCGUGGGGAGCAAACAGG
rnacentral:rRNA from 1 species